GACUCUCGGCAACGGAUAUCUCGGCUCUCGCAUCGAUGAAGAACGUAGCAAAUGCGAUACUUGGUGUGAUGCAGAAUCCCGUGAACCAUCGAGUCUUUGAACGCAAGUUGCGCCCGAGGCCUCCUGGUCGAGGGCACGUCUGCCUGGGUGUCA
rnacentral:rRNA from 1 species